GUCACGUACCCUAUCGCCUUGAAGGCGAUGGGCUUGUGCAGAACGAAGCCCUGGACGUGAGCAGCCCCCCAGGCAUGCCUGGGAGCAGUUUGGCGCGAAUGCGAAUAGGCACGCCGCAAUGACGGUCCAGUUGCGGCCGCUGCG
rnacentral:sRNA from 32 species